rnacentral:rRNA from 1 species
GAUGAACGCUAGCGGCAGGCCUAAUACAUGCAAGUCGAGGGGCAGCGGGUGUAGCAAUACAUGCCGGCGACCGGCGCACGGGUGCGUAACGCGUAUGCAACUUACCUCUAACAGGGGAAUAGCCCCGAGAAAUCGGGAUUAAUACCUCAUAACAUUUAUCAUUCGCAUGUUUGAUAAAUUAAAGCUCCGGCGGUUAGAGAUGGGCAUGCGUGACAUUAGCUAGUUGGUGAGGUAACGGCUCACCAAGGCUACGAUGUCUAGGGGUUCUGAGAGGACAUUCCCCCGCACUGGUACUGAGACACGGACCAGACUCCUACGGGAGGCAGCAGUAAGGAAUAUUGGGCAAUGGACGCAAGUCUGACCCAGCCAUGCCGCGUGCAGGAUGAAGGCCCUAUGGGUUGUAAACUCCUUUUACGGGGGAGAGGAAGGACGGUACCCCGAGAAUAAGUCACGGCUAACUACGUGCCAGCAGCCGCGGUAAU